CCCCAAAUCCAGCAAAAUGGAGAGGAGAGAUGGGAGAAACCCUAACAAAGUCUUUUUCUUCCCCUAAAAUCAAGGAGCUACGGAUGGAGAUCAGCAGCCUCCACAAACUGCUGAGGCAGACACUGGAGGCUGUGGCCACGCGAGCCCCAGAGCCUGAGGCACAGCCGCUCAGCACGGAGCCAUGGAGGGAGCCCUCCCAGCGUGCAGACCAGAACUGCUGGCGCACAUGGUGGCUCCUCCCACACCUGCUGCUGGUGCUGCUGCUGGCACUGC